GAGUUUGAUCAUGGCUCAGGAUGAACGCUAGCGGCAGGCCUAACACAUGCAAGUCGAGGGGUAGAGUGCUUCGGCACUUGAGACCGGCGUACGGGUGCGUAACGCGUGUACAAUCUACCUUUUGCUAAGGGAUAGCCCGAAGAAAUUUGGAUUAAUACCUUAUAGUAUUAUUUGGUGGCAUCAUUGAAUAAUUAAAGCUACGGUGGCAAAAGAUGAGUACGCGUCCCAUUAGCUAGUUGGAGUGGUAACGGCACACCAAGGCUACGAUGGGUAGGGGUUCUGAGAGGGAUGUCCCCCACACUGGUACUGAGACACGGACCAGACUCCUACGGGAGGCAGCAGUGAGGAAUAUUGGACAAUGGUCGGAAGACUGAUCCAGCCAUGCCGCGUGCAGGAUGACGGCCUUAUGGGUUGUAAACUGCUUUUGUAUGGGAAGAAUAAGGUCUACGUGUAGAUUGAUGACGGUACCAUACGAAUAAGCAUCGGCA
rnacentral:rRNA from 1 species